UUCUGCGGCGUGUAAGUAAAUGUACAGGGACGGGGAAAAACUGAUCAAACACCAACACAAAGAACGUAUGCAAAUUAUAGCAAGGAAGAUGGACGAGGUCUUUUCGCUGCAUACGGAAAAACUAGAUUUAUUCGAUGUUCUUCUUUUGGCCGGCAUUCUUUCGUUAAUAAUACUUUUGGUUCUAUAACCGAAAACAAUAAUAUUUUAAUUACAACAAAUUGCAGCCAAAAAAAAAGUAUUUACAUGGAAACUGAAAAGGAAACAGACGGAGUAAUUCGCUUGCAUGAAAUAAAAUGCAAAAUUCGUCGUGUGGUGAAAUAACUUUGUUGAAAUGUCAAAUGAAGUGCUGUCAAAAUUGACACAUUCUUUGAGAGCUUUUUUUUCAGAAAAAAAGCUUAUUCUUUCAUCGAAAAUGCAUAUCUGUUUGGGAUGUGUUCGGCAAUUAUACACUAAAAGUGUAGUGUUGCCACACUAUAAGAAUGGAGAAUCGUAUAAUGUUAUUUGAAAAGCAAAAAUAAAAAUUUCCAUAUCUACAAAAAUAUUAUCUCUGUUGCAAUUUGUGAUAUAUGCUCAAUAAAUUAUAAUUUUUUUUUUAUUUUUCUUUCUUUCACAAAAGACGAUAAUAAUAAUAAAUUUAUAAUUUAAAUAUUAUAUAUAAAAAAUGUAAAAAAAAACAACAUCAAAUACACACAAAAUGUAGAAAAUAUCGUUUUUAAAACAACAAAAAAAAACUAUAAAAUCUUUAAGAAGAAGAAAACAAAAAAAAAAAUUAUCAGUAUCCGUUGUAAGAAUAAAGAAACAAAAGAAAAAAAAAAAAAACUAUAUAUUAUGACAAGACUGAUUGGUAAUUUUAAAUU